rnacentral:lncRNA from 1 species
GCUGUUGGAUUCAUCCUUAUUAUAUGUAACUUACAGUGAAAGAAAUAACCCAAGGUCUGAAAGCACAAGAGAGGUGGUAGGACACACCACACCAGAGGAAGAUGAUUAGCCUGAGGAACUGUUAACACCAAAGCCAGUUGUCUCUCCUGGUAGACAUCAGUCUGAGAGGAGCUGACACCCAAGUUGCUGUAGGGAAGAAAGGUUGAUUUAGAAAAAGGUACCAAUGCUUUUGGAAAUUUCUCAAGCAAAUCACUCAAUGCACUCUUCCCUAGCCAAGACAUCAUCAGGAAGCAGUAAGGACUGAGUCCUGCUUCACCCACAGGCCCCCAGGCUGACGCUCGGCCUGGUCCCUCAGAAGGUGCCUGUGGGGGCGGCCGCCACCAGGAGAGGAAGGGAGACGUCUAAUGGCACCCUGGGUCCUCCAGGCACACGGAUACAUAGGAGCUCAGCCACCAGCUUGACCGAGAACCUGCCUCUUCUGUCAGUUGUACUUACACUUUUGUCUGCUUUUAUGCUGAUAAAAUGCCACUGACGUCAGCUACAGCAAACCUUCAGUGCUUGAUAUAUGUGCGAGCAAGAAGAGAAUCAGGGCCAUAUUAAACAAACAAAUGUCAGUCAUCAAGGAGUAAGAGCUCAGAGAAAAGGUGAGUGAAAGGGGCUUGGUGGAGCUCUUCCUACAUGCUCAAAGGUAAUACGUGGUUGGGUUUAUAUAAAUAAAAGUCAGG